CAACAGCGCAACGUGAUCCACUGGCAAGGAGGGAUGCCAAUAAGGCGUCUGGUAAGAAACUGAGCAUGACAACAUAAUUUGACAUGCCAACAUGGAUGAAGAAAUCUCAUAAGGCCCCAGUCCUAGAUGAAGAGCUGCAGGAACUAGAAACAACUUAGAUGAACCUCAGCAGAAGAAUGGAUAAAGGAAAUGUGGCAUAUUCAUAGAGUGGAGUAUUACUCAGCUUUUAAAAAUAAUAACAGCAUGAAAUUUGCAGGCAAAUGGAAACAAGGAACAAUGAAAAAAUCAUCUUGAUUGAGUGACUUGAAAUGUGACGUGUCAGAAAGAUUGCUCAUCUAGACUUCUACUACAGGGGAAGAAUGCCUAUGAAUUUAAAGGAUGAGUAUUUUAUUUUAUGUGGAAGUAAUUUAUUGUGUAGUUGUGCCUAAAUCUCACUAACUUUCUCUGAACUCAGAACCACAGAGAUAUGAUGCCCAGUCCAUAGCUUUGCAACACAUUCCAUUAACCUCCCAUGUUUCAGCUAUUUUAAAUAUUAGUUCCAUUUCAACAAACAAAAUCCUGCAAUGCAUUCUGGUAAAUUAGUAUCUAAUAAGAAGAGACUAGAGCAUGAAACUCCAACACGAAUGUUUAAUGGGAUACAAAUAUCCAAUCUGGAGGCUCUAAUAAAAGUCUCCUCUCUCUGGGUGAAGGCCGUUGGCUGUUACACAGAAGCCAUCAUACAUGGCCGCCCUCAAAAUGCAUUAUAGAUCAGACUCAUAAUCUUUCCUUCUACAAAUGGCACAAGAAUUGAUUUCAAUUAUCAUUUAAUACUGAUUUCCCUCUCCUGUCAAAAAGUUCUCUGUGCACAUGAAACUGAAGGUUGUCAGCUUGAGCUCAUUGGCAGAACUUUUAAGGACUAUUGAUUUGUCAGUGAGAUUUCUAGUUCUCUCAUAGUUACUGGAAGGAUACCUUGGAGGCUGAAUUCGAUGACAGGAUGGGCCAGAAUGCCGAUAGGCUUAGUGAAGACUGAUGAAAAGAGAAACUCAAAAUUUGUCAGAAUGUAUUUUGUAAAUUAGGUUAACAUGAUUGAUUAUACUAAGCCAAAAUUUCUCAUGUAGCACUGACCUGAAUUUUAAUUAUCUCUUUUCUUCCUGCCCCAUUUUGUGCUUUGGUACAAGUCUUUGAUGUCUGCACAUUAACCUUUGCAGAAAAUAUGAAGUGGUUUAAAAAUAAAUUGGACUUAUGCCUUUGGAAAUAAGAGUUGUUUUGUGCACCUACAGAGACUUGUUUUACUUCUUUCAACUCCAAGAGUAUAUGAGUUACCACAGAGUAUUUAUAUAAGCACAUAUGUAAGGCCAACAUUUUUUGUAGGAUUUUAUGUUCUUACAGGUACUUAAAGAACCCAAGGGCCUUUAUCUUCACUUUAAUUUUCUCACAAUCCUUGUAAAAAAAAAGAGACAGCUUUCCACAACUAAUGCCUUCUCAACAGCACUGACAUCAUUCUGAGUAAACAUAGAUGCAUCUUAUAGGCACAGUCAGUGCUCCCCUUUAAGCAAUCUCUCCCUCUCCUGACUCCCACAUACAUUUUUUUCUGUAAACGUUGUGUAGAUUUGUCUCUACAGGGACAGACCCAGACUUUGUGUGGCUUUAAAAGACACAAGAUUGCAUUCCAUCAAGAAAAAAGGAACCACAAAAUCAUGGAUAUGAAAUCAACAUGAGAGCCAGCUGCAGGAGUGGAUGGAUUUGAUUACUUUCAAGCAUUCUGUGUGGCCGGAAACUUAAUGCUGAAGCUCAGCAGGAGAAGGCCUGUGAAGAGGGAAUUGACUCACACUGUGAUUUAUAAUAAAGGGAACCUUUUUUCUGCGAAAUGUUAUCUGAGAGUUAAGAACUCCUUUGAGAUUUUUCACUAUCAACUCAGCAUGGUGCUAUUAUUUUGUUAUUGAGACUUUUGUUUUUCCUACCUCUUACAGAGGAAUCUGAAAGUUCAGCAGAAAGCAGUGGUCCUUACCUAUAGUCCAGUUAGGUACUCCAGAUACUGCACCAGCAGUUCAGCAGACUCUCCUGAAACUUUGUAUGCAUCCAUUGAAUUAUUUUUUUAACAGAAAAUAUUUAUAAGAUAUAGUCAGUAAUCAGUUUUCCUAUGAUAUAAGAGAUUUACAAAAAGCUGUAUGUGUCUAGCCUUUCCUGUUAUCCAUGCUAUGUUGUUGUAGAUAUACUGGGAUGUCUGCCAACCUGAUACUUUCCCCCCCUCUAAAAUCCAGUGUUUCUCCAUAGAAAACACAGGCCAUUCUGGGCAGGGGUGGGUACAUUUUCUUA